rnacentral:rRNA from 1 species
CAGUCGCCGCGGGAAUACGGAGGGUGCGAGCGUUAAUCGGAAUUACUGGGCGUAAAGCGCACGUAGGCGGUUUUAUAAGUCAGAUGUGAAAUCCCCGGGCUUAACUUGGGAACUGCAUUUGAAACUGUCAGGCUAGAGUAUUGUAGAGGAUGGUAGAAUUCCAGGUGUAGCGGUGAAAUGCGUAGAGAUCUGGAGGAAUACCGAUGGCGAAGGCGGCCCUCUGGACAAAGACUGACGCUGAGGUACGAAAGCAUGGGGAGCAAACAGGAUUAGAUACCCGAGUAGUCCCUGUCUCUUAUAC